rnacentral:rRNA from 1 species
ACCUACGGGUGAAAGCGGGGGAUCGCAAGACCUCGCGCUAUUGGAGCGGCCGAUAUCAGAUUAGCUAGUUGGUGGGGUAAAAGCUCACCAAGGCGACGAUCUGUAGCUGGUCUGAGAGGACGACCAGCCACACUGGGACUGAGACACGGCCCAGACUCCUACGGGAGGCAGCAGUGGGGAAUUUUGGACAAUGGACGCAAGUCUGAUCCAGCCAUGCCGCGUGCGGGAAGAAGGCCUUCGGGUUGUAAACCGCUUUUGUCAGGGAAGAAAAGCUCCGAACUAAUAAUUUGGGGUGAUGACGGUACCUGAAGAAUAAGCACCGGCUAACUACGUGCCAGCAGCCGCGGUAAUACGUAGGGUGCAAGCGUUAAUCGGAAUUACUGGGCGUAAAGCGUGCGCAGGCGGUUCUAUAAGACAGAUGUGAAAUCCCCGGGCUCAACCUGGGAACUGCAUUUGUGACUGUAGAGCUGGAGUGCGGCAGAGGGGGAUGGAAUUCCGCGUGUAGCAGUGAAAUGCGUAGAUAUGCGGAGGAACACCGAUGGCGAAGGCAAUCCCCUGGGCCUGCACUGACGCUCAUGCACGAAAGCGUGGGGAGU